GUGUCAGCAGCCGCGGUAAUACGUAGGGAGCGAGCGUUGUCCGGAUUUACUGGGUGUAAAGGGUGCGUAGGUGGUCGUUUAAGUCCGUUGUGAAAGCCCUGGGCUCAACCUGGGAACUGCAGUGGAUACUGGGCGACUAGAGUGUGGUAGAGGGUAGCGGAAUUCCUGGUGUAGCAGUGAAAUGCGUAGAGAUCAGGAGGAACAUCCAUGGCGAAGGCAGAUACCUGGACCAACACUGACACUGAGGCACGAAAGCGUGGGGAGCAAACAGGAUUAGAUACCCUGGUAGUCCACGCCCUAAACGAUGCGAACUGGAUGUUGGGUGCAAUUUGGCACGCAGUAUCGAAGCUAACGCGUUAAGUUCGCCGCCUGGGGAGUACGGUCGCAAGACUGAAACUUAAAUGAAUUGGCGG
rnacentral:rRNA from 1 species